rnacentral:rRNA from 1 species
AGAGUUUGAUCCUGGCUCAGGAUGAACGCUAGCGGCAGGCCUAACACAUGCAAGUCGAGGGGUAACGAUGUCUUCGGACAGUCGACGACCGGCGCACGGGGGAGUAUCGCGUUUGUAACCUACCUUUAACUGGAGGAUAGCCCGAAGAAAUUCGGAUUAAUACUCCAUAACACUAUGAUCUGACAUCUAUAUAAGAUUAAAGCUCUGGCGGUUAAAGAUGGGCAUGCGUAACAUUAGUUUGUUGGUGAGGUAAUGGCUCACCAAGACUACGAUGUUUAGGGGGUCUGAGAGGAUGGUCCCCCACACUGGUACUGAGACACGGACCAGACUCCUACGGGAGGCAGCAGUGAGGAAUAUUGGUCAAUGGGCGCAAGCCUGAACCAGCCAUGCCGCGUGCAGGAUGACGGCCUUAUGGGUUGUAAACUGCUUUUAUAUAGGAAGAAACCCUUGAACGUGUUCAAGGCUGACGGUACUAUAAGAAUAAGGAUCGGCUAACUCCGUGCCAGCAGCCGCGGUAAUACGGAGGAUCCAAGCGUUAUCCGGAUUUAUUGGGUUUAAAGGGUGCGUAGGCGGAAUAGUAAGUCAGGGGUGAAAUCCCACAGCUCAACUGUGGAACUGCCUUUGAUACUGCUAAUCUUGAGUACAAUUGAAGUAGGCGGAAUGUGUCAUGUAGCGGUGAAAUGCUUAGAUAUGACACAGAACACCGAUUGCGAAGGCAGCUUACUAAACCAAUACUGACGCUGAGGCACGAAAGCGUGGGGAGCGAACAGGAUUAGAUACCCUGGUAGUCCACGCCGUAAACGAUGAAUACUCGCUGUUAGCAAUACACAGUUAGCGGCUAAGCGAAAGCAUUAAGUAUUCCACCUGGGGAGUACGCUCGAAAGAUUGAACCUCAAAGGAAUUGACGGGGGCCCGCACAAGCGGAGGAACAUGUGGUUUAAUUCGAUGAUACGCGAGGAACCUUACCUGGGCUUAAAUGUUAGUGACCGUUCCUGAAAGGGAACCUUCAGCAAUGACACGAAACUAGGUGCUGCAUGGCUGUCGUCAGCUCGUGCCGUGAGGUGUUGGGUUAAGUCCCGCAACGAGCGCAACCCUUAUCAUUAGUUGCCAUCAGGUUAAGCUGGGCACUCUAAUGAGACUGCCCGCGCAAGCGGUGAGGAAGGUGGGGACGACGUCAAGUCAUCAUGGCCCUUAUGUCCGGGGCUACACACGUGAUACAAUGGCAGAUACAAUGGGUAGCUACAUGGCAACAUGAUGCUAAUCUCAAAAGUCUGUCUCAGUUCGGAUUGAGGUCUGCAACUCGACUUCAUGAAGCAGGAUUCGCUAGUAAUCGGAAAUCAGCAAUGUUCCGGUGAAUACGUUCCCGGGCCUUGUACACACCGCCCGUCAAACAAUGGAAGUCGGGGGUACCUGAAGUCGAUAACCGCAAGGAGUCGCCUAGGGUAAAACUGAUGACUGGGGCUAAGUCGUAACAAGGUAACC